rnacentral:rRNA from 1 species
ACUGUUUCGGCAAGGGGGUCAUCCCGACUUACCAACCCGAUGCAAACUGCGAAUACCGGAGAAUGUUAUCACGGGAGACACACGGCGGGUGCUAACGUCCGUCGUGAAGAGGGAAACAACCCAGACCGCCAGCUAAGGUCCCAAAGUCAUGGUUAAGUGGGAAACGAUGUGGGAAGGCCCAGACAACCAGGAUGUUGGCUUAGAAGCAGCCAUCAUUUAAAGAAAGCGUAAUAGCUCACUGGUCGAGUCGGCCUGCGCGGAAGAUGUAACGGGGCUAAACCAUGCACCGAAGCUGCGGCAGCGACACUGUGUGUUGUUGGGUAGGGGAGCGUUCUGUAAGCCUGUGAAGGUGUGCUGUGAGGCAUGCUGGAGGUAUCAGAAGUGCGAAUGCUGACAUAAGUAACGAUAAAGCGGGUGAAAAGCCCGCUCGCCGGAAGACCAAGGGUUCCUGUCCAACGUUAAUCGGGGCAGGGUGAGUCGACCCCUAAGGCGAGGCCGAAAGGCGUAGUCGAUGGGAAACAGGUUAAUAUUCCUGUACUUGGUGUUACUGCGAAGGGGGGACGGAGAAGGCUAUGUUGGCCGGGCGACGGUUGUCCCGGUUUAAGCGUGUAGGCUGGUUUUCCAGGCAAAUCCGGAAAAUCAAGGCUGAGGCGUGAUGACGAGGCACUACGGUGCUGAAGCAACAAAUGCCCUGCUUCCAGGAAAAGCCUCUAAGCAUCAGGUAACAUCAAAUCGUACCCCAAACCGACACAGGUGGUCAGGUAGAGAAUACCAAGGCGCUUGAGAGAACUCGGGUGAAGGAACUAGGCAAAAUGGUGCCGUAACUUCGGGAGAAGGCACGCUGAUAUGUAGGUGAAGUCCCUCGCGGAUGGAGCUGAAAUCAGUCGAAGAUACCAGCUGGCUGCAACUGUUUAUUAAAAACACAGCACUGUGCAAACACGAAAGUGGACGUAUACGGUGUGACGCCUGCCCGGUGCCGGAAGGUUAAUUGAUGGGGUCAGCGCAAGCGAAGCUCUUGAUCGAAGCCCCGGUAAACGGCGGCCGUAACUAUAACGGUCCUAAGGUAGCGAAAUUCCUUGUCGGGUAAGUUCCGACCUGCACGAAUGGCGUAAUGAUGGCCAGGCUGUCUCCACCCGAGACUCAGUGAAAUUGAACUCGCUGUGAAGAUGCAGUGUACCCGCGGCAAGACGGAAAGACCCCGUGAACCUUUACUAUAGCUUGACACUGAACAUUGAGCCUUGAUGUGUAGGAUAGGUGGGAGGCUUUGAAGUGUGGACGCCAGUCUGCAUGGAGCCGACCUUGAAAUACCACCCUUUAAUGUUUGAUGUUCUAACGUGGACCCGUGAUCCGGGUUGCGGACAGUGUCUGGUGGGUAGUUUGACUGGGGCGGUCUCCUCCUAAAGAGUAACGGAGGAGCACGAAGGUUGGCUAAUCCUGGUCGGACAUCAGGAGGUUAGUGCAAUGGCAUAAGCCAGCUUGACUGCGAGCGUGACGGCGCGAGCAGGUGCGAAAGCAGGUCAUAGUGAUCCGGUGGUUCUGAAUGGAAGGGCCAUCGCUCAACGGAUAAAAGGUACUCCGGGGAUAACAGGCUGAUACCGCCCAAGAGUUCAUAUCGACGGCGGUGUUUGGCACCUCGAUGUCGGCUCAUCACAUCCUGGGGCUGAAGUAGGUCCCAAGGGUAUGGCUGUUCGCCAUUUAAAGUGGUACGCGAGCUGGGUUUAGAACGUCGUGAGACAGUUCGGUCCCUAUCUGCCGUGGGCGCUGGAGAACUGAGGGGGGCUGCUCCUAGUACGAGAGGACCGGAGUGGACGCAUCACUGGUGUUCGGGUUGUCAUGCCAAUGGCACUGCCCGGUAGCUAAAUGCGGAAGAGAUAAGUGCUGAAAGCAUCUAAGCACGAAACUUGCCCCGAGAUGAGUUCUCCCUGACCCUUUAAGGGUCCUGAAGGAACGUUGAAGACGACGACGUUGAUAGGCCGGGUGUGUAAGCGCAGCGAUGCGUUGAGCUAACCGGUACUAAUGAACCGUGAGGCUUAACCUUACAACGCCGAAGGUGUUU